rnacentral:rRNA from 1 species
AUUGAACGCUGGCGGCAUGCCUUACACAUGCAAGUCGAACGGCAGCACGGGUGCUUGCACCUGGUGGCGGGUGGCGAACGGGUGAGUAAUACAUCGGAACGUACCUUAUCGUGGGGGAUAACGCAGCGAAAGCUGUGCUAAUACCGCAUACGCCCUGAGGGGGAAAGCGGGGGAUCGAAAGACCUCGCGCGAUUAGAGCGGCCGAUGCCUGAUUAGCGUGUUGGUGGGGUAAAAGCCCACCAAGGCGACGAUCAGUAGCUGGUCUGAGAGGACGAUCAGCCACACUGGGACUGAGACACGGCCCAGACUCCUACGGGAGGCAGCAGUGGGGAAUUUUGGACAAUGGGGGCAACCCUGAUCCAGCAAUGCCGCGUGAGUGAAGAAGGCCUUCGGGUUGUAAAGCCCUUUUGUCAGGGAAGAAACACCGGCUCUAACACAGUCCGGGAAUGACGGUACCUGAAGAAUAAGCACCGGCUAACUACGUGCCAGCAGCCGCCGCAG